CUUCAAAAUGACUUCAGUGCCGUGGGGACAUCCGUCUUCUUCCAGCAAUGAUGAUGAACAGAGAGUUCUUAAGGCGUUUUCCAGGCCUAUAUUUUGCCUUCCAGUAUAAAGAAGGACAGUGCUGCAAUUUUGGUCCUUGUCAGAACCACGUGUUACCUGAAUCUUGUACCCAGGAUUACACAGAUCAUAGAUUUCACUCAUGGGUGGAAUUUCUGCCCCUCAUGUCUCCUGUCCAUCGAGAUUUGGCGGUGCUCCAAACACAGGAUGGUAUCGGUGUGUUUCCCACCUGAACAACCUGAAAUCAAGUCUUACAUAUCCAUCAUCCAGUUUCUCUGUCUUGUGCAGUAACGUGUAAUUCCAUUUAUUAAACCAUUUUUUAACUGACAUAGUUAAAAAAAAAAAAAAAGGCGGAGCAGCAUUUUCCUCUCCAGCACUCGGAGCUCCAGGGCCGGCGUCCCCCGGAUUCACGCAGCGGCAGCACCAGCGACCUGGAGUGGCUCCGUGUUUAUCCACGCUUUAUCGGCUGGUUUGUCAGGCACACUGCACGUGAAACCAGCAGAGCCUGCCUGCUCCUUUUUCCUCCACUGAAAGUCGUUCCUGUGUCUCCAAGCUGCCUGCAAGAACUUUGGCAUGGUUUUCCUAACCUUGCAAACAGUAAAAGCAAAACUCUCCUUUGAUUAAAAAAAAAAAAAAUGCCGGAGGACUCUGGCCCGGAGCCACGAAGGAUGCAGGCGAUCUGAGGGAAUAUUCCACAAAACACUGCAAGCUCCCUCUCCGGGCCCCAGUGCGGGCGACGCACUUUGCUUGUACUUAACAUACAUCAACUGUCACCCAGCGGCAGUCGGCGUUCAGCCGAACACAAUGGAAUAUCCAGAUGGUCUAAACAAAGCCAGCAAAUGUUCACUGCUAUUAAAAGCUGUUUACAUCAGCUUCCAGGGUUUCGAGGUACUUAGGUCCAUGGCCAGGACUGCCUCUUACAGAGUCCUGUGGCUGACGUUCCCACACCCGGUGGAGACGAAAUGAGACAGUAACUUAGGAGGCAGGAUAGUGUCAACUAGAGCUGUCACCGCAGGCACUCUCAGUGACUCGCCCCCAGUUCUGUUUUAUUGAUGGUCCAUCGCAGCCGCGGCCCCAGACCCAAUGAACAGGCAGCGGCCCUCCCCGCCGGUGGUGGUGGUAGGGCUGGGUGGACGGGUGGGUCCCUACCUGCCCUGCAGUCAGGACCUCUGGGCCUCCUUGCUCCCUGCUGGGGAUGUUUAGGCCGUGAAUGCUUCUGUUUUCUUCCUCCCAGGUACUCUGCUAUCAGGCCCUGUCCUAUUGGGGAUUAAUACACGUGAGUGGCUGACCUGCAUUCUUCUGUCUUCCUUCCUUGUCUUUACGGCGUCUCCCUUAAAAUUCCAGGUGCAUCGCUGAUGGUGUUGGAGGCGUAGCCUCCAUUGUGUAUUGCCAUUGUGUACUGUAGUGUAUUGCUAUUCACAACACUAUCCACGGGAAGGAUGUCCAGCUCGUUUCUUGUUAAAGAAGAACCUGAGAAACUGUCCCUGUUUUUAACAGGGUAUGUUCACCAUUGCCAAUUUCUCUCAUUGUAACAUACCUGAAAAAUGAGUAAAUAGGAAAAUCAUAGUAUAUAUCAAUUUGCCCUAAAAUUCAAACUAGUAUAAGAACAGAAAAGAGCCUCGAUAGAAUAAUUCAAAUAAUUAUUUUCUACAUAAACAGAUAAUCUUAACUUUAUGUCACAUUUGGGUUAAGUUUCGUGCAUUAUUUGUUGUGUCAUUUCUGAGUUACCAUGCUUCAAGUUUUCUGAUGUGUUUUUCAAGGUGGGCGAGUUCAUAAAUGACUAAAGUAAAAUGUUUAAGAAAAUAUGAUUUGUUGGCCUAUUUUCUCCAGAAAUAACCUUUAAGAUCAAGAUGGGUAGGUAACGAGG